CCUACGGGGGGCAGCAGUGGGGAAUAUUGGACAAUGGGCAAAAGCCUGAUCCAGCCAUGCCGCGUGUGUGAAGAAGGCCUUCGGGUUGUAAAGCACUUUCAGUGGGGAAGAAAGCCUUGGGGCUAAUGCCCUCGAGGAAGGACAUCACCCACAGAAGAAGCACCGGCUAACUCCGUGCCAGCAGCCGCGGUAAUACGGAGGGUGCGAGCGUUAAUCGGAAUUACUGGGCGUAAAGCGCGCGUAGGCGGUCUGAUAAGCCGGUUGUGAAAGCCCCGGGCUCAACCUGGGAACGGCAUCCGGAACUGUCAGGCUAGAGUGCAGGAGAGGAAGGUAGAAGUUCCGGUGUAGCGGUGAAAUGCGUAGAGAUCGGGAGGAAUACCAGUGGCGAAGGCGGCCUUCUGGACUGACACUGACGCUGAGGUGCGAAAGCGUGGGUAGCAAACAGGAUUAGAUACCCGAGUAGUC
rnacentral:rRNA from 1 species